AACAACUCUCAGCAACGGAUAUCUUGGCUCUUGCAACGAUGAAGAACGCAGCGAAAUGCGAUACGUAGUGUGAAUUGCAGAAUUCCGCGAAUCAUCGAGUCUUUGAACGCAAGUUGCGCCCGAGGCUUGUCCGAGGGCAUUUCCGCUAGAGCGUCACAG
rnacentral:rRNA from 1 species